GGCAGAGGGUGCGAGCGUUAAUCGGAGUGACUGGGCGUAAAGGGUGCGUAGGCGGUUAAUUAAGUGGUUUGUGAAAGCCCUGGGCUUAACCUGGGAAGUGCGAGCCAAACUGAUUAGCUGGAGAGGAGGAGAGGGUGGAGGAAUUUCCGGUGUAGCGGUAAAAUGCGUAGAGAUCGGAAGGAACGUCGAUGGCGAAGGCGACCACCUGGCCUUUUACUGACGCUGAGGCACGAAAGCGUGGGGAGCGAACAGG
rnacentral:rRNA from 1 species